UGAGGUCAAAUUGAACGCAUUU
rnacentral:miRNA from 2 species